rnacentral:misc_RNA from 1 species
AUUUCCAAGGUCCAAGUCCACCUUUCAAACAACGAAAAAAGGUCAUUUUCUUCCCAACUUUUAGAAAUUUCAACACUUUUAGCUCCUGUUUCUGUUUUUUUCCUCCUUCCUCUUCUGCCUUGAAUUAUGACCAAUUCUUAUUCUUUAGUCUUACCCUCUCAUAGUGAAGAAGAAGAAGAAGAAUAUAUUAGCUUACUGCUAUCAUCUAAUAUGUUCAAGGUAGCUAAUCAGAGAGAGAACAGGUGAACAUGAGAUUCAUAAGGUUAAGAUCUGAUAGAGAUCAUGCUACCUUAUGGACGACCUCCUUAAAAAAUCAUCUUUUUGAAAAAAAAAAUAAAAAAGCAAAGUUGGAUUAGAAAGAAGAAUAUAUACCUCUCCACCAUCAUC